CAUAUUUUUGCAUAUGGCCAAUAUCACAUGCGAGAUUCAAAUUCUGAAUCUACUCAAGUGUGGAAGUGGGAUUUGCAACCGAUGUGACCAGAGGCUCUUCCUUUUAGCCUCUCAUUUCACAAAGUGCCUCUCUAGAACCAGGGUUAAUUGCCGGAUAUUUAAAUUUCAAUUUUAAAAUUUUCCGACUUACAAUGUAGACCUCGAUGGGAG